UGGAUGCCUAGGAGAUUUUGGCCGAGGAAGGACGCAUAUGGCGGCGAUACUCGUCGGGUAGGUGCCAUAAACCUAUUAUCCGGCGGUUUCCGAAUGGAGCAAUCCACCGCGUUUUACGCGGUAGCCACUCAUAAAAAUAGUCUCUUUAUGGGAUUAUAUAGUGUUUGGCGGGGUACGGCGUGAACUGAAACAUCUAAUUAACGCCAGGAAAAAAAAUCAUAGAGAUUCCCCAAGUAGCGGUGAGCGAAAAGGGAACAGUCUAAACUCGCUUGUGCGUUGCACAAGAAUUUUUAAGUAACAAUUUUCAAUUUUCAUUGAAUUUUCAUUUGUUUAAUUUUUAAAAUUUUUGAACAUUUGGAUUUGAUUAGAAAUUAGAAAUUAAGAAUUAGAAAUUCUCGCGCAGCGUGCGAGUGGGGGUUGCAGGGCAGACGAUAUUCGAUGCAAGCAUGGAUAGCAGAAGGACCCGGAAUGGUCCCCCAAAGUACGUGAAAGGCGUGUACGCAAAAUUUAUGCUUCCGAUAGUUUGUUCCUAAGUACCAUGGGGUACGGUGAAACCCUGUGGGAAUCUGGGGCGGCCACGUUCCAAGACUAAAUACCGAAAUCUACCGAUAGUGAACUAGUACCGUGAGGGAAAGGUGAAAAGCACCCCGAGAGGGGGAUGAAAUAGACCUGAAAUUAUUGGCUAACAAGCAGAGAGAGCUUGUCCAUAGGACAAGAAUUUUCAAGUAUCAAUUUUCAAUUUUCAUUGAAUUUUCAAUGUUUCAUUUUUAAAAUUUUGAACAUUAGAAUUUGAUUGUAAAUUGUAAAUUGUAAAUUGGUAAUUCUCGCCUUGUGGGCGGGUGAUCUCGUGCCUAUUGAAGAAUGAACCGGUGAGUUAUUCAACACUUUUUGUCUAACCAAUUAAGUUGGGAAGGCGUAGUGAAAGCGUGCUCUAAAUGAGCGAUUUUACAGAGUGUGGAAUAGACCCGAAACCGGGUGAGCUAACCUUGAGCAGGGUGAAUGCUGGCGAAAGCUCAGCAGGAGGCCCGAACUCGUAUCCGUAGCAAUGGGUUGAGAUGACUUGAGGUUAGGGGCAAUAUGCCAAACGAACCCGGAGAUAGCUGGUUCUCCCCGAAAUAUAUUUAGGUAUAGCGGAAUGUUAUAGGUACUGUGGGGUAGAGCACUGAAUGAAUUCCUGCGUCGCAAGAUGUAGGCUUCAAUCAAACUCCGAAUACACAGUAAUUUUUUCAUUCUAGUCAGACAUGUCGGGCUAAGCUGAUGUGUCAAAAGGGAAAAAGCCCAGACUUCCAUCUAAGGUCUCUAAAUAAAAGCUAAGUUUUGAAGGAAGUCAAAAUUCAUAGACAACCAGGAUGUUGGCUUAGAAGCAGCCAUCAUUUAAAGAAAGCGUAAUAGCUCACUGGAGGAUGAUUUUUGGCGCCGAAAAUUUAUCGAGGAUUAAGCUUUUUACCGAAGUUGAAGAUACUUGUGCGUUGCACAAGAAUUUUUAAGUAACAAUUUUCAAUUUUCAUUGAAUUUUCAUUUGUCCAAUUUUUAAAAUUAAAAACAUUUGAGAUUUGAUUAGAAAUUAGAAAUUAGAAAUUAGAAAUUCUCGCGUAGCGCGCGAGCAUGGUAGGGGAGCGUCCUGUUCUGCAGUGAAGGUGUGGCUGUGAGGCCUACUGGAGCGGAUAGGAGUGAGAAUGCCGGUAUGAGUAGCGAGAGCACAGUGAGAAACUGUGCCGCCGAAAGCCCAAGGUUUCCUCCGCAAUGUAAGUCAGCGGAGGGUUAGUCGGCCCUAAGGGGGUGCCUCGUUAAAGGGGUAUAGCCCGAUGGAUAAGUCGUUUAAAAUUCGACUACAAGAUAUAUGAAUUCCAAGGGGAGGACGAAAGUGGAAGAGUUGAUCCCGCCAAUGGCGGGACUAAGUAGCGAGAUAGGACUUCGAGGAAAAUCCUUUAGUCUGUUUAAUUAAGCUACAACGGAGAGGACCCCGAUUUAUCGGGAAACAAUUCAAUAGCUUUCAGUUUCCGAGAAAAGUCUCAUUGGCCAGGUGCCAUACGGUACCUAGAAAAUGUAUAUUUUACCGUACCGAAUACCGACACAGGUGGGCAAGUGUAAGUGCACUUAGGCGAUCGGGAGAAAAAUGAUUAAGGAACUCGGCAAAAAAGCUGGGCGUAACCUUUGGGAGAUGCCCUGCCUCGAUUAAUCUCGAGGCUACAACAAAAGACUACUUAGCGACUGUUUAUCUAAAACACAGGUCCCUGCAAAAGCGAAAGCUGACGUAUAGGGGCUGACACCUGCCCAGUGCUGGUAAGUCAAAAGUAGAGAGUGAUGUUCCAAAAGAAUUAAGCUUUUUACUUAAGCUCCAGUAAACGGCAGCAGUAACUAUAACUGUUCUAUGGUAGCGAAGUUCCUUGUCGGGCGAGUUCCGACCCGCACGAAUGGUAGAACGACUGAGUAACUGUCUUAAUCAUUUACCCGGCGAAAUUGAGUUGGCUGUGAAGACGCGGCCUAGUUGUCCUUGGACAAGAAGACCCCGGGAGCUUUACUGUAUCUUGGCAUUUGAAAGUUUAUUUUGACUGUUUAGAAUAGGAGGGAGGGAGGUGCCGUCUGGUACCUCCCAAUAGUGAAAUACCUCUCUUCGGAAUAUGCAAUCAUUACCUUAUCGCCGCACAAAAAUCCGGCUAAGGGACAGUGUCUGGUGGGCAGUUUAACUGGGGAGGUUGACUCCUAAAUCGUAACGGAGUUGUACAAAGGUUGGCUAAUUACGGAUGGAAAUCGUAAUGAUAGUGCAAAGGCAUAAGCCAGCUUAACUGCGAGACCUACAAGUCGAGCAGAGACGAAAGUCGGUCUUAGUGAUCCUCCGUAGCCUAGUGGUAGGCUCGGAGCUUAACGGAUAAAAGCUACCCCGGGGAUAACAGGCUGAUCGCAUCCAAGCGUCCACAGCGACGAUGCGGUUUGGCACCUUAAAUAACAUUGGGGCGCCUAUAGAAGUAAUUCUAUAAGUCUGGUUAUUCUACAACGCGUUUAGAGAACGCGUAGAAAUAAUAAAAUCAACUAGUUAAUAUCGGUGGACUCCUUCGACUCGAACAGUCGCUCAGGACAAUACCGAGGGAAGGAGGUACCGUAUGGCACCUCCCCCGUAUCGACUUGUGUUUGGUUUCAAACGAACACGGAUGGAAGUCUCUGUCCGAAGUAACAUCGGACAAAUCUAUAGCUUCCAUAAUUAGACUAGCUCCUUUAAGUAAAGGAAACUCGAAGCACGAAUAUCGAAGCUCGAAACUUUUUCGAAUUUCGGAUUUAGAAUUUCGGAUUUCCGGUGUGAAGGAUGAAGGUAUAGUCAAUGCACUUAGUAAUAAGUCGCGAUGUCGGCUCAUCGCAUCCUGGGGGUGGAGAAGCUCCCAAUGGUCUGGCUGUUCGCCAGUUAAAGCGGUACGCGAGCUGGGUUCAGAGCGUCGUAAGACAGCUCGGUCUCUAUCCAGGACAACCGUUGAUAUUUGAGGAGAGCCGUCCCUAGUACGAGAGGACUGGGAUGGAGGAAUCCCUGGUGUGCCAGUUGUUUCUAAAGAAGCAUCGCUGGGUAGCUAGAUUCCUUACUGAUAACCGCUGAAAGCAUCUAAGUGGGAAGCAGACUCCAAGAUUAGAUAUCGAUUUGCGCGCAGCGCAAGAGUUUUCAAUUUAAAAUUUUCAAUUUACAUUGAAUUUUCAUUGUUUCAAUUUUUCAGAAUUUGACCAUUUGGAUUUGAUUAGAAAUUAGAAAUUAAGAAUUAGAAAUUCUCGCGCUGUGCGCGAGUGAGAUCCCUUCAAGACCAGGAGGUUGAUAGGCGGGCGGUGUAAGCAUAGUAAUAUGUUGAGCCUACCCGUACUAAUGAUCGAU
rnacentral:rRNA from 3 species